CCUACGGGGGGCAGCAGUGAGGAAUAUUGGUCAAUGGGCGCAGGCCUGAACCAGCCAAGUCGCGUGAGGGAAGACUGCCCUAUGGGUUGUAAACCUCUUUUGUAAGGGAGGAAUAAUGACUACGUGUAGUCAGAUGCCCGUACCUUAUGAAUAAGCAUCGGCUAACUACGUGCCAGCAGCCGCGGUAAUACGUAGGUGGCAAGCGUUAUCCGGAUUUAUUGGGUGUAAAGGGCGUGUAGGCGGGAAUGCAAGUCAGAUGUGAAAACUAUGGGCUCAACCCAUAGCCUGCAUUUGAAACUGUCUUUCUUGAGUGCUGGAGAGGCAAUCGGAAUUCCGUGUGUAGCGGUGAAAUGCGUAGAUAUACGGAGGAACACCAGUGGCGAAGGCGGAUUGCUGGACAGUAACUGACGCUGAGGCGCGAAAGCGUGGGGAGCAAACAGGAUUAGAUACCCCAGUAGUC
rnacentral:rRNA from 1 species